UGUGCACCUGAGUGAUUAAAUAUUUGUGCAGAAAUGUGGUUGAACACCCAAUGUAACCUGUCCCCACCCUUUUUGUCUUAUGGCAUGCCAGAGCUCCAUCACAACCAGUUUCAGGAGAGAACGACUAACAGUGAAAACAAACGAGAAACAGGAAAGUCCAGCUACCGUAACUUUUGACCUCUUGAGUCUGUGCAAAGGGGUCGUAUGUCCAACUCGCAGUCCAGUCCAGGACAGUACCUGAGCAACGGGAGUGACCCAUACAACGGGCAGCCGUAUCUCUCAGGCUUCAUCUCUCUGCUCCUACGUGCCGAGCCGUACCCCACGUCUCGCUAUGGAGCCCAGUGCAUGCAGUCCAACAACCUAAUGGGCAUCGAGAAUAUCUGUGAAUUGGCCGCCCGUUUGCUCUUCAGCGCCGUAGAGUGGGCAAAGAACAUCCCUUUCUUUCCUGACCUACAGCUCAUGGACCAGGUGGCGCUCUUGCGUAUGUCGUGGAGUGAGCUGUUCGUUCUAAAUGCUGCUCAGUGCUCUAUGCCACUGCAUGUAGCGCCCCUGCUGGCCGCUGCCGGUCUACACGCUUCCCCCAUGUCAGCCGAAAGAGUGGUGGCCUUCAUGGACCACAUACGUGUCUUCCAAGAGCAGGUGGAGAAACUGAAAGCCCUUCAGGUAGACACGGCCGAAUACUCCUGUCUGAAGUCCAUCGUACUCUUCACCUCUGCAUUUUUCAUCGCAGACACGCAGCGAUUCCAAGCCGGUGCCACAGAGGUUGAUUGAAGCCCCAUCCAACUUCUCACCUGCAGCAUUCUGCUCUGUGGAUCUCACUCAAGGGAAAUUCAACAUCUACAUCUGCAAUUCUACAGAAACUGCAUAUCAGCGCCCCGGCAACCAGUAUACUGCAUAGCAACACCUUAGUGGUGAGUUUUGCACAGACAAUCACCACUUGUUUUUAUUUAGUACAAUUUAGUACGUCUUGUUGUAGUGCAGGUGAUUUUUGCUAUAUAGCACAUUAUUUAUGUGCCACUACUGUAAUCACAAGCUAUUUUAAAAGUUUCAUAUUUUUAACUGUGCAGUUAUGCAUU